rnacentral:misc_RNA from 1 species
UCAAACUUGGUCAUUUAGAGGAAGUAAAAGUCGUAACAAGGUUUCCGUAGGUGAACCUGCGGAAGGAUCAUUAACAAAUCGAAUCACGAUGCAAAACGAUCAGGUGAGCGAAGCGAAGCUGGUUGUUUUGCAGAGUCAGCGAGUGGUGUCAGUGAUUGCUGUCAAGCAAUCAAUGAUACCAUGAGCUGCUAAUACAUCUGUGGAUGCGCGAGCAAGCAUAGAUGUAGCGAGCGGUGUACAGUAGCAAUAUUGUACGCUGCUGCAGAUGCAGUAGUAAUGCUGUAGCUGCAGAGUCAGGCAAACCUUAUUGCAUUGCAAUAUUGCAUGCCUGAUUCGCACCGCAAUCAUGCAUCACAGAUCCGCUCACGCAGAUCUUUGCUACAUAAUUGCUGGACACACGAUACAUAUUGACAAAAUAGACAAAAUAUAUACACUUUUAACAAUGGAUCUCUGGGCUCUUGCAUCGAUGAAGAACGCAGC